CGAUAUUUUCGCGUCGGAAUUAAAGCUGCUGUUGGGCCACCGGAGCUUCUGGCCGCUCACGGAUCUUUUGUCGGGGCAAUUUGAAGUCGUAGCUGCUUCGCUUGUUAGUAUAGUUUGAGUUUCGGUGAUUUCGUGUCGCAUAAGUGUUGCGGAGGCUGCCGUGUCAUUCCUUUUAUUUUAGAAGUAGUAGCUGAGCUUAUACGUGGCGCUGAGGCUGUUUCUUAUAUUGAGAAAAACACGCAGAGUCGGGAUUUUGAUUGUGGUUUCGAGCUGAGGCGAAAAGGACUCUGAGAGACGUUUGGGUUAUGGAAUUUGCGUUUUGAGGUAGAGGCGCUUUCCAAAAUCUAUAUUUUAUAUAUUGGAA